AAAUAUUAAAAAAAAAAAAAAACUGAAUAACUGGAAUCUACUCCAUCACUACCAUACAUUAAACCACAAACCAACUCUCAUAUAUAUAUACUCCCACCUUCUCUUCAAUCUCUCUCCUCUCAUUUCAUUUCUCUCGUCGCCACCACUGCUCUCUCUCUCUCUCUCUCUCUCUCUCUAAUUAUCUACAGUCACUGUUUCUGCACACAGAAAUCUAGCGUGUCUCUUUCCAGCAACGAUAACUUGGCGGGGACGACGAUGAUGGUGAAGGACGAGUGGGUAAGAGCGGCGAUGACGGAUGAUACAGUGGUUGUGGAGCUGCUUGUACGGCUUAAGCAAGCACAAGCGGCGGUACCGGCAAAGCCUCAGGCGGUGAUUCCGUUUAGAUGGGGGUUACGACUCCCAAGGUCGAGACCUGCCACCUCUACUUCCGCACGAUGUGACGUCAUUUCCAGGAGGAAAGAAGGAGAUUCUUCUACCAGAUGUAGUCCUACCACGCCGCUUUCCUGGAGCGGUGGUGGCGGCGCCGCCUCACCUUCCGCUACCGCUGAUGGCUUUGAAGAAACCAGCCCACACGUCAGCCGUUCCCUUCCUGGCGUCAGAUCCAAGGCUAGUGCUAAUGUGGAAACUGCAAGCACCACUACCAAGAGGUCAAGAAGGAAAAAGACAUUUUUUGAACUUAAACAAGAAGAAAGUGCGUUGUUGUUAGAAAAGUUGGAUCUGAAAGAGGAAUUAGCUGCUUUAAAUGUCACUUUAAAGGAACAAAAAGCAAGAAAUGAGAAUUUGAAGAGAAUAAAGGUCGAUUUAAAUUUUCAAUGUGCAAAGAACUCGAAUUUAGCGUCUUCUGAAAUAGAGAAAGCAAGUUGCAGCCAGACCCAUCAAGGGGAACCUUCUUCAGCAAACUACAUUAGUUCAGUGUUGCCAGCGCUUGCUAAAGUUGAUUGUAAUACACAGUCAGAUUCUUGUGAAAUGCAAGAUGCAGAAUCUAAUCACGAUAGAUCCUUCCUGAUACCUGAUUUAAAUAUGAUGCCAUCUGAGGAGGAUCAUAACACUGGAAUGAUAUGACUAAAAUGUAUGAACACCCCAUCUUUGCUCCAUACUAAGGAUGUGGAUGCCAGGUAGCAGAAGAGCUGCAGAGGUAGCCUUGUCCUUAGCCAAGGAGUUGUUCAAUUUAUGCGCAUUCAUUGUUGGCAUCUCAGAAUUGAGCAAUCGGCCAAUGCUGCCCCAUAAAUUUCUCUUCAUCUACCUCGUGGAAGGCAAAAGAGGUCAAUCAGUCAACGGAGGAGGUUUCACGAGUACUGUAGAGAUUGUGACUAAUAGAUGUAGAGAUUCUUGUUCUAUUUGAGGUAUCUGGAUUCCUCUGAAAUUCUGCAGGAAAUUGUUUUUGCUUUGAGAGACUGGACUGAAAAGCAAUCUUAGAUGAUGCUUGCUGCUGUGAAUUUCCUAUUAACAGACAGGACCCGUUUUGAAGACGAGAGAAACGCCGACAGAAAAAUGAUAUGGCCAAAUCUAGCACUUUUUAAGUUUUUGCUUAAACAAUGAUUUUGCUAUGUAUGUGGGAUUUGCAUCAUACUGAAAUGCAGUAGCAGCAAAAUUAUUUCCUGCAACAAAUUAGUAUUUUCAUAGAGAGGAAUGAACUUUUUGGAAA